rnacentral:lncRNA from 1 species
ACAGGCGGACGGAGGGCCAGGAGAAGGGGCUGUGCUGCCAGCAGGCAGUGCUUUGAGCUCUAAUGGAUGAACAUUGCUAACCAGCGAAGGUGGAGAGAGGGCACCCGUCUGAGAAGAUGAAGAGGCAGCAAAGCACAGCUGGCCUCGGGGAACCGGAAGCCACAGGGACAUCAGGCUGUGUGCUGCUGUCUGUCGGCCACCAGCUGGGGGACUAUCCUGGACCUGGAAGGGCAUCCCUGACACUCCCCACCAGAUGCCAGGGGCACCCCCAGCCCCAGGUGAGAACCACGGAUCCCAUGGCGAAUGAGGUCAGCCUGUGGGAAGUGGGGCUGGGACUGCUCUGCACAGCUUAAUAGGAAAGUUGGGUUCUAUUUGGUGGGGUUUUGGUCAUGCCAAUGGCUGGUCAGGGCUGUCCGUGAGGAACUGAUUUGAGGACAAGUUAGAGAAGGGGCUGCCGAGGCCAGUGGGGCACUCGCUGUCUGGGUCUAAGAAAAAGAAAAUAAAGGCUGGUGAUGUGACAGUUGGUGGGAGCACAGACGGAAGGAACUGGCGGUGGAGACACACGGUUGGCCCUGCACAGGGCUACGGUAGCUACCUGGGGGUCAUCCUAUUAAUUCUCCUCAUGGUCCCAAGAGGCGGCUGUGAGGAUCCCUCUCCUGAGGACAAAACUGCUCCAGAGCCACACAGAACCAAGAUCCGGGCCAACUCCAAAGCGGGCGAUCUUGACCCCUCACCCGUGGUCCUGAGGCAGGGAUCGGAGCCCCCUGGACACACAGACACUCCCAGGAACUGCAGGAAUGGGAAGUAGAUACCCCAGACCAGCGGCAGGACCCAGGGUUUCUGCCCCUCAGGGCACACUGGGACCAGCCACUGCAUAGGUGGACACAUGGUGCUUUAACCCACACUGGGGGAAGGAAGCCCUCACUCUCAGAGUGGAGACCACAGCCUCCAGCAGGCCCAGCCUCACUGCUUUAACCCGUACUGGGGGAAGGAAGCUCAAGCUGUCAGGGUGGAGACCGCAGCUUCAAUCAGGCCCGGCCUCACUGCUUUAACCCGCGCUGGGGGAAGGAAGCCCUCGCUCUCAGGGUGGAGACCGCAGCCUUGAUCAGGCCCAGCCUCACUGCUGGGCACAGCCUGAGGAUCGCCAUACAUGAUGCUGAGGUGUCCCAACGUUGGGGUGCCCAGAGCCACUCAGCCGAGAAUGUGGUGCUUUCUGUAACUGCCCUCAUUUCUUUACAGUAUAGAUCUGGACUCCAUCCUUUGCAAUGUGUGGGGUUCUAGGAAGAGGCCAGCCAGCCGUGGAAGUGUCCUGGGCUCUGUCCCGGAGACGACGAACUUGGCUCCCCACGAGGGCGGCCUAUUCCCCACAGUGUCCCCCGGGGGCCACACCUGCACCCACCUUGCUGAAGAUAAUUCGCUUUCUCAUCCGUGAAAGAAUAAAGUCGGAUUAACUCAUCUCCACACUCACUUCCAACUCUAACAACCUGUGUUAGGAAAUCAAAGGUAAGGACUCUGACCACAAACCCAAGAAGCAAAACCCGAGACUCACGGAACGACGCCACCAUUGCAGUUCCCAGCUUGACUAGUUGUUUUUCUUUUCUGGUCUGUUCUGCUCUUUUGGUUUAAAUAAUUAAAGAUCCUUGUUGACAAG